rnacentral:rRNA from 1 species
UACGGAGGGGUGCAAGCGUUAUCCGGAUUUACUGGGUUAAAGGGUGCGUAGGCGGCGCGGUAAGUCGGGUGUGAAAUUUCGAGGCUUAACUUCGAAACCUGCAUUCGAGUACUGCCGUGCUUGAGGACUGGAGAGGAGACUGGAAUUUACGGUGUAGCGGUGAAAUGCGUAGAUAUCGUAAGGGAAGACCAGUGGCGAAGGCGGGUCGUCGUGGACAGUUCCUGACGCUGAGGCACGAAGGACCAGGGGAGGCAAACGGG